AACAGGAUUAGAUACCCUGGUAGUCCACACAGUAAACGAUGAAUACUCGCUGUUUGCGAUAUACAGUAAGCGGCCAAGCGAAAGCAUUAAGUAUUCCACCUGGGGAGUACGCCGGCAACGGUGAAACUCAAAGGAAUUGACGGGGGCCCGCACAAGCGGAGGAACAUGUGGUUUAAUUCGAUGAUACGCGAGGAACCUUACCCGGGCUUGAAUUGCAGAGGAAUAUAGUUGAAAGAUUAUCGCCGCAAGGUCUCUGUGAAGGUGCUGCAUGGUUGUCGUCAGCUCGUGCCGUGAGGUGUCGGCUUAAGUGCCAUAACGAGCGCAACCCUUAUCAUUAGUUACUAACAGGUCAUGCUGAGGACUCUAGUGAGACUGCCGUCGUAAGAUGUGAGGAAGGUGGGGAUGACGUCAAAUCAGCACGGCCCUUACGUCCGGGGCUACACACGUGUUACAAUGGGGGGUACAGAGGGCAGCUACCGGGCGACCGGAUGCCAAUCCCAAAAACCUCUCUCAGUUCGGAUCGAAGUCUGCAACCCGACUUCGUGAAGCUGGAUUCGCUAGUAAUCGCGCAUCAGCCACGGCGCGGUGAAUACGUUCCCGGGCCUUGUACACACCGCCCGUCAAGCCAUGGGAGCCGGGGGCACCUGAAGUACGUAACCGCAAGGAGCGUCCUAGGGUGAAACUGGUGACUGGGGCUAAGUCGUAACAAGGUAACC
rnacentral:rRNA from 1 species